UACGAAGGGGGCUAGCGUUGUUCGGAAUCACUGGGCGUAAAGCGCACGUAGGCGGAUUGUUAAGUCGGGGGUGAAAUCCUGAGGCUCAACCUCAGAACUGCCUUCGAUACUGGCAAUCUCGAGUCCGGAAGAGGUUGGUGGAACAGCUAGUGUAGAGGUGAAAUUCGUAGAUAUUAGCUAGAACACCAGUGGCGAAGGCGGCCAACUGGUCCGGUACUGGACGCUGAGGUGCGAAAAGCG
rnacentral:rRNA from 1 species